rnacentral:rRNA from 1 species
GGCUACACACGUGCUACAAUGGGUAGUACAGAGAGUCGCAAAGCCGUGAGGUGAAGCUAAUCUCAGAAAACUAUUCUUAGUUCGGAUUGUACUCUGCAACUCGAGUACAUGAAGUUGGAAUCGCUAGUAAUCGCGAAUCAGCAAUGUCGCGGUGAAUACGUUCUCGGGUCUUGUACACACCGCCCGUCACACCACGAGAGUUGGUUGCACCUGAAGUAGCAGGCCUAACCGUAAGGAGGGAUGCUCCGAGGGUGUGAUUAGCGAUUGGGGUGAAGUCGUAACAAGGUAUCCGUACGGGAACAU